rnacentral:rRNA from 1 species
AACGAACGCUGGCGGCAUGCCUAACACAUGCAAGUCGAACGAUGCUUUCGGGCAUAGUGGCGCACGGGUGCGUAACGCGUGGGAAUCUGCCCUUGGGUUCGGAAUAACAGUGAGAAAUUGCUGCUAAUACCGGAUGAUGUCUUCGGACCAAAGAUUUAUCGCCCAGGGAUGAGCCCGCGUAGGAUUAGCUAGUUGGGGGGGUAAUGGCCUACCAAGGCGACGAUCCUUAGCUGGUCUGAGAGGAUGAUCAGCCACACUGGGACUGAGACACGGCCCAGACUCCUACGGGAGGCAGCAGUGGGGAAUAUUGGACAAUGGGCGCAAGCCUGAUCCAGCAAUGCCGCGUGAGUGAUGAAGGCCUUAGGGUUGUAAAGCUCUUUUACCCGGGAUGAUAAUGACAGUACCGGGAGAAUAAGCUCCGGCUAACUCCGUG